rnacentral:lncRNA from 1 species
CGUGCUUCCCACCCACGCUGCUGGGUUGGUCUUCAGCAGCCAAAGGUCGCUUGCCUUGCCUCAGUUAUGCAAGAAGUGACUUUUCUACUGCUAGGAGCUGGUUCAGCAGGACGAGCCCCCGAGUCCUGGGAGGAGAGGGCUGUCCUUUGACGUCAGUGCAGGUCAGUGGCAGGGCUGGUCCUGGAACCCAGACCGAUUUAUGGCAUCUAAGCCGAACUUCGUUCUACAACAUGUGGCAAGACCUCCUUUGCACAGAUGUUCUUGGCUCUGAGGAGGUCGCUCAGCCUGCAGCCUCUCCUCCCCAGGCCUCGGCCAACAGGCAAGGAGGCUGGAGCCAGACCCUGUGCAGGUUCCUCAGGGCCUGGCUCGGUGUUGCAGAGGAACACGGCGCCCAAAGCAGCCUCUGGCCAAGUGGACAUUCGUCCCAAAGCACCAGCAGCUUCUCUUUAGCAGGUCCUGGGACCCUUGGUCCUCUGUCCCCACAUAACUCAGUUUCCCAAUCACACUGUGUGCAGUGGGCUUGCUAGGGCUGGCCCGACAAAGACAGGGGAGUUUCUACUUCUUCUCGGCAGUCGGUGGUCAGCCUGCAGUCUCCAGAGAGUGCCAGUGGCUCAGCCCUAGGACAGCGGCUGCAAUCCCAGCUGCAGGAGCACGAGGACAGAGGAGCCACACACUGGGCAGAUGGGCCACUGAGGAUCCAGCAGGGCAGGAUGGGCCUUUUGUCUGCACUCAUCCCAGAUCGGAUCAGCCUGCUUCCACGUGCAGGGAAAGCCCAGGACCCGGAUGGGGCAGCCCUGUCUCCUGCAGGAGCGCUGCCUGGAUUGGGCGCUGCGGCUCCUACACCCAGGGACAGAACCACGACCACGCGUGUGACACCUCCAAGGACAUCUGGUCUCCCGCUCCUCUGUCUCUCUUGGCCACCAACUCGCCUGUGCUCCCCAGGGCUCCAGUGCUGUCCCGCCAAGGACGGCCCUGCGACCUCGCCCCGCGGACUCGCACCCAUCCAUUUUCUGCAGCUGCAGCCCCGCUUCUCCCCAGAGGCGGAGUGCCCUCACCUCUCCCCUUCCACUGCGCACAGCCCAGCUGAGCCCUCCC